AGUACGUGAAACUGAUUAGAGGUUAAGCCCGAUGAACCUGAAUAUCCAUUAUGGAAAAUUCAUCACUAAUAAUAUGAUAUUUAAUAAAUAUUAUAUAAAUAGUGUGCAAUUUUUCCAUAUAAGGACAUUGUAAUCUGUUAAUGUAAUAAAUAUUUAUCAAAAGAUCCAUUACGUUAAGUUUAAUCAAAUUAGUUAUUUUCGGAUUUCUAACAUAGAUUAAAUGUUUUGGAUUUGAUAAAUCAUUGACAGAUAUAAUUAUAUAAUAUGCUGAAAUUCUUCGGAAUUUUACAAUGGUAAAUUAAUCUAUUGAUUUUUUUAUUUAUUGUAUGCGCUAUUAUGAUUAACAAUGCAAUAGAUUCAGGAUACCUUCGGGACCCGUCUUGAAACACGGACCAAGGAGUCUAACAUAUGUGCAAGUCAUUGGGUUAUAAAACCCAAUGGCGUAAUUAACUUAACUGUUUAUAAUGGGAUUAGUUUAUAUUUUGUAAUGAAAUAUUGAAUUCAAUCCCGGGGCGUUCUAUACAGUUAUGCAUAAUGAUAUUUAUAUUAUUUAUGCCUCUAACUAGAGC
rnacentral:rRNA from 1 species